CGACGGGUCGAGUAACACGUUGGAACCUGCCCCAAAGUGAGGAAUAAGCCACCGAAAGGUGGUCUAAUACUUCAUAAUAUCCAUCUCGUAUGGAUUAAAGCUUUAUGCGCUUUGGGAGGGGCCUGCGUAACAUUAGCUUGUGGUGAGGUAAAAGCUCACCAAGGCUUCGAUGUUUAACUGGUUUGAGAGGAUGACCAGUCACACUGGGACUGAGAUACGGCCCAGACUCCUACGGGAGGCAGCAGUAAGGAAUCUUCCACAAUGGGGCAACCCUGAUGGAGCAAUACCGCGUGCAGGAUGAAGCGUUUCGGCGUGUAAACUGCUUUUAUCACCGAAGAUUAUGACUGUAGGUGAAGAAUAAGGACCGGCUAACUACGUG
rnacentral:rRNA from 1 species